rnacentral:rRNA from 1 species
CCUAUCAGCUUGUUGGUGAGGUAAUGGCUCACCAAGGCGUCGACGGGUAGCCGGCCUGAGAGGGUGACCGGCCACACUGGGACUGAGACACGGCCCAGACUCCUACGGGAGGCAGCAGUGGGGAAUAUUGCACAAUGGGUGAAAGCCUGAUGCAGCAACGCCGCGUGAGGGACGACGGCCUUCGGGUUGUAAACCUCUUUUAGCAAGGAAGAAGCGAAAGUGACGGUACUUGCAGAAAAAGCGCCGGCUAACUACGUGCCAGCAGCCGCGGUAAUACGUAGGGCGCAAGCGUUAUCCGGAAUUAUUGGGCGUAAAGAGCUCGUAGGCGGUUUGUCGCGUCUGCUGUGAAAACCCGAGGCUCAACCUCGGGCCUGCAGUGGGUACGGGCAGACUAGAGUGCGGUAGGGGAGAUUGGAACUCCUGGUGUAGCGGUGGAAUGCGCAGAUAUCAGGAAGAACACCGAUGGCGAAGGCAGAUCUCUGGGCCGUAACUGACGCUGAGGAGCGAAAGGGUGGAGAGCAGACAGGCUUAGAUACCCUGGUAGUCCACCCCGUAAACGUUGGGAACUAGUUGUGGGGUCCAUUCCACGGAUUCCGUGACGCAGCUAACGCAUUAAGUUCCCCGCCUGGGGAGUACGGCCGCAAGGCUAAAACUCAAAGGAAUUGACGGGGACCCGCACA